rnacentral:rRNA from 1 species
AACGAACGCUGGCGGCAUGCCUAACACAUGCAAGUCGAACGAGACCUUCGGGUCUAGUGGCGCACGGGUGCGUAACGCGUGGGAAUCUGCCCUUGGGUUCGGAAUAACAGUUAGAAAUGACUGCUAAUACCGGAUAAUGUCUUCGGACCAAAGAUUUAUCGCCCAGGGAUGAGCCCGCGUAGGAUUAGCUAGUUGGUGAGGUAAAGGCUCACCAAGGCGACGAUCCUUAGCUGGUCUGAGAGGAUGAUCAGCCACACUGGGACUGAGACACGGCCCAGACUCCUACGGGAGGCAGCAGUGGGGAAUAUUGGGACAAUGGCGAAAGCCUGAUCCAGCAAUGCCGCGUGAGUGAUGAAGGCCUUAGGGUUGUAAAGCUCUUUUGUCAGGGAAGAAACGGUGAGUUCUAAUACAGCUUGCUAAUGACGGUACCUGAAGAAUAAGCACCGGCUAACUACGUGCCAGCAGCCGC